UACGUAGGUGGCGAGCGUUGUCCGGAUUUACUGGGCGUAAAGAGCGCGCAGGCGUCGUACAAGUCGCGUGUGAAAGCCCCUGGCUCAACUGGGGAGGGUCACGCGAUACUGUUCGACUCGAAGGCAGGAGAGGGAAGUGGAAUUCCCGGUGUAGUGGUGAAAUGCGUAGAUAUCGGGAGGAACACCAGUGGCGAAGGCGACUUCCUGGCCUGUUCGUU
rnacentral:rRNA from 1 species